AUUUCUUCAAUUUUUGUUGCGUUCCCCAAUGUCUACACUUCAAAAUAAAGUUUAGCAUACAAAUGAAAUGUGAUGUAUGAAACACAUACAUAAGGCUCCACUGAUUUGCUUUGUUAAAAGAACUCUGUUCCAUCACAGGAAUAACUCUACUACCUUGAGGCAGGAGAAUCGCUUGAACUCGGGAGGCAGAGGUUGCAGUGAGCCGAGAUGGUGCCACUACACUCCAGCCUGGGCAACAAGAGCGAAA
rnacentral:lncRNA from 1 species